AUUGAACGCUGGCGGCAGGCCUAACACAUGCAAGUCGAGCGGAUGAAGGGAGCUUGCUCCUGGAUUCAGCGGCGGACGGGUGAGUAAUGCCUAGGAAUCUGCCUGGUAGUGGGGGAUAACGUCCGGAAACGGGCGCUAAUACCGCAUACGUCCUGAGGGAGAAAGUGGGGGAUUUUCGGACCUCACCCUUUCAGUUGGCCCUAGGUCGGAUUAGCUAGUUGGUGGGGUAAAGGCCUACCAAGGCGACGAUCCGUAACUGGUCUGAGAGGAUGAUCAGUCACACUGGAACUGAGACACGGUCCAGACUCCUACGGGAGGCAGCAGUGGGGAAUAUUGGACAAUGGGCGAAAGCCUGAUCCAGCCAUGCCGCGUGUGUGAAGAAGGUCUUCGGAUUGUAAAGCACUUUAAGUUGGGAGGAAGGGCAGUAAGUUAAUACCUUGCUGUUUUGACGUUACCAACAGAAUAAGCACCGGCUAACUUCGUG
rnacentral:rRNA from 1 species